GACUCGGUGGCCUCAUGGUUAGUACGUUGGACUCCGGAUCGAGCGGUCCAGGUUCAAGCACUGGCCGGCGUCA